AGGGGGAGGCCGGAUCCUGGGCUGUGUCCCCGGCGCCCUGUGCUCUGGGGCCUGCACUGUUGGAUUCACGCUCCCGGCUGCACAGCCCCCU
rfam:Canis lupus familiaris chromosome 26, whole genome shotgun sequence.